rnacentral:rRNA from 1 species
UACGAGGGGGGCGAGCGUUGUUCGGAAUUAUUGGGCGCAAAGGGCGCGUAGGCGGUCGGAUAAGUCUUGUGUGAAAUCUUCGGGCUCAACUCGAAGUCUGCACAGGAAACUAUCUGGCUUGAGUGUGGGAGAGGUGAGUGGAAUUCCUGGUGUAGCGGUGAAAUGCGUAGAUAUCAGGAGGAACACCUGUGGCGAAAGCGGCUCACUGGACCACAACUGACGCUGAGGCGCGAAAGCUAGGGGAGCAAACAGG